GUGGGGAAUAUUGGACAAUGGGCGAAAGCCUGAUCCAGCAAUGCCGCGUGAGUGAUGAAGGCCUUAGGGUUGUAAAGCUCCUUUACCAGGGAUGAUAAUGACAGUACCUGGAGAAUAAGCUCCGGCUAACUCCGUGCCAGCAGCCGCGGUAAUACGGAGGGAGCUAGCGUUGUUCGGAAUUACUGGGCGUAAAGCGCACGUAGGCGGUUACUCAAGUCAGAGGUGAAAGCCCGGGGCUCAACCCCGGAACUGCCUUUGAAACUAGGUAACUGGAAUCUUGGAGAGGUCAGUGGAAUUCCGAGUGUAGAGGUGAAAUUCGUAGAUAUUCGGAAGAACACCAGUGGCGAAGGCGACUGACUGGACAAGUAUUGACGCUGAGGUGCGAAAGCGUGGGGAGCAAACAGGAUUAGAUACCCUAGUAGUCC
rnacentral:rRNA from 1 species